AUUGAACGCUGGCGGCAGGCCUAACACAUGCAAGUCGAGCGGAGUGGCGGACGGGCGAGUAAUGCCUAGGACUCUGCCUUCCUGUGGGGGAUGACGUCCGGAUACGGGCGCUAAUAUCGCCUACUCUCAGUUGAGCCUAGGACGGAUUAGCCAGGUGGUGGGGUAAAGGCUUACCAAGGCGACGAUCCGUAACUGAACUGAGAGGAUGACCAGUCACACUGGAACUGAGACACGGUCCAGACUCCUACGGGAGGCAGCAGUGGGGAAUAUUGGGCAAUGGGCGAAAGCCUGAUGCAGCAAUGCCGCGUGAGUGAAGAAGGUCUUCGGAUUGUAAAGCGCUUUAAGUUGGGAAGCGUUACCAACAGAGUAAGCACCGGCUAACUACGUGCCAGCAGCCGCGGUAAUAC
rnacentral:rRNA from 1 species